CUCUGGUUUCCAUUUCUGAUUAAAGAUUUUUGAUAUGUAUCAAAUAUAACAUUCAAUAGAUAUGUAACCUUAGAAUAUAAUCUUGAUACUUUUUGUUUUUUUAUAUAAAAUCGUAUUGCAACAUCAAAAUCGAUACACUUGAACCAAGAUCAAGAACAACGAACAACGAUACUACGAAUAAGGCGAUUUCUGACAUUUCUGAUUAGCGGAGCAUCGAUAAGAACUGUUCACUUUUUUCCAUCGUCCACGAAUGUUUAGACGCAUUUAUGAGGAAACAGAGAAAUCGUUGCACAAGCGGCUCGUAGAGCAGAUCGAACCGGAAUUAAGGAAGUCGAACUCUGGCGCAAAAGUAACUGCAUACGUAAUUGAUCGCGCGUUAAAUUGCAUCGCAUUAGAGCACACGUGAUCUUGUUCUUCGCAGUUUCAUCAAUGAUACCGAAAAGAAGAUGAAAAAUCGGAGCGGGGCAAAGGGAUUCGGUUAAGUUAAACGAUUGCUGCAAUCCAGACAGAGGCAAUGAGCGUCAUUGGUGAUUGACGCAUCCAAUUUUAUAUAUUUCAAUAAUUGUUAAAAGAAGGCUGAUGAUAACCUUUGAAUACCGCUAUUACACUAUAAUAGUGCCAUUCCAAAGUUACCAUUCUAAAAGGUUACAUGUGAAAAUUAACCAAUUGCGCCCUUAACGAAGUUUCGAUCUUACUUCUUUCUUUCCACAAAAUUUUUUCAAUUUUUCCAAAACAAAAAUAUUACAAGAUAACGUAGUUAUUUUUUCUUCUGUUUCGAAAUCUUCUGUUGAAAAAAGAAUUGAAUUACCGAGAGAAAAGCAAAGAAAAAUGACCGAGUGAACGACAGUCCAUUACAUUCGCACGAUCACUCGAAAGUGAAAUCGUUCAUAGCACGGAGCAAGAAAUGUCUGUUCGCCAAAUUGAAAAAAAGCAAUGAACGAGGAAACAGGAAGUCGGACAGGAGACAAACGAUCAAGUGGAGGCAAUAAGAUAAUACCAUCUCUGUGGACCAACAUUUAACGACUUAAUUUUGUCCCCGCUUAUUAAUUCCCCAAUUCGCAUAGGAUUUGCAUGAUAUAAUGUUCGUCAUGGGAAACAGCAGAAUAGACCUUGUUCUUUUGUGUCGGAUACAAACCAAUCAGACUUUGUUAACGGUUCCUAACUCAAUUGGGAUCAAUCGAAGGCCGAAGCGUGCUGGAAAAGUGUCGAUAUGCGCCGACGAAAAGUAGCUGACGAAGGAAGGAACACCCUCUCGAGAGGCAAAAACGAAAGAGCAAUCGAUGAAGCCGCCAAUGUGUCGACCACUUGACUUGACUUUGUGUGCUGGCCCCUCCUGAACACCAUCCCGACAAGACUGGCUUUCACCAUAAUUAUAUGGUACCCAGAUACAUACAUGCAAGUAGCGUUGGGACUGAUACGAAUUUCGAAUUUCGAAUUUCGAAUUUCCAAUUGGUACUCAACAGGAAUAACCUGACAACAUUAUUUAAUAAAUAAAUAAAAAUUUUAAAAUUAUAAAAUUACUACUAUAGUACAUUUAAAAUUGAUGGCAUGUAAAACUGAGAGUUUUUAUUUUGAUUGGUUACUGUGAAUUCUUCUACUGAGCGACGUCGAUGAUACUGAAUAAUUGAUACUGAAUAGGUAGCUAAAAUUUCAAUACUUUGUCAGUGAAUAUUCAAGUAUAAAAUUGUUUGAAUAUGAUCAAUGUGUAUGGUAUCAAUCCCAUCGCUACAUGGGUGUUCUUAUAGCCAACCGAAUCGGUUCCCCACGGAAUGAAGUCUCUGAUGCAACCGGUGCAGGCAGGCCUUGCGCUACAAAUUACGAAUAGCCUUAGGCAAGGCAAAACGAACAUUGGAGAAACGAUGACGAAGAUGAAGAAGACGAAGAAAAGCAAGAAAAAGUCGCAGACAGAAGGGGAGAGAACCGACCGAGUUUGGCAGGAGAAAAGAACGCCGAAACGAAUGGCUACAUACUACAUAUGUAGGUAUGUAUGUAGUCUAAACCCAAUCUUUUUAAAUAUAUUUUUAUGCUUUCAAACGUAUAUGAUAAUGAAGACUUUUAUUUCUGUUAUUUAAAAAAAAAUCAUUUUUGAGCUCUUGAUGAACACAUUGCAUGGUAGAAUCGGGAUGCAAGCAAAAGAACAAGAACAAGAGACGAGUUCCUAAACGAAAGAACAAAGCAUCCUACUACAAAACGAGCUGUAUAGCGGAGUUUGGUCGACCAGCUUAUAAAGUAAGAUUGGCUAAUUUUCGAGUCAAACAUCGGAUCGUGUUUUAUUUGGGCACUGUAAACGAGACGAACAUCUCUGAAUACACUUCCAGCCUGAAAAUUACUCCGAUAACCGAUACGAGCUAAUCAUACCAAAGAUUCCUUUUUUUCUUACAAAACAAAAUAACAGCUCGAAACAGCUGUUUGAUUUUAAAAUACUGACAAUGAGUGACUGAUGAAAUUUCAUUAAUUUGCAAAAUUAAUUAAACAAAUUUCACUGAAAAGGUAUAAAAUUUCGAAAUAAACUGUGAUCAACAGAAAAGCAGAGGUUCUAAUUAACGAAUAUUAUUUUUAACGAUAUUACAAAUAAUAAUGCUGAAAGUUUCAUGAACGAAUGGACCAUUUAAACUAUAACAACCCAAUAUUUUCGUGCAUUAUAACGGCAGACAGAAGAAGAGAUCCCCUUUAAUUACAGAAAUUCACGAAAAGAGUUCGCGUGUGAACGAAAUGAUCAGCAUCUUCCAAGAAGCAGUACACGGCAAAGCGUUCCUUUAUAUUCUUUAUCUUUCUUACAUAUACAGUACUCGCCAACUUGCAGCAGACUGUGCUACAAACAUCUUUCUCCGACAUCUUAAUGUUCGAAUUCAUCCCUUGAUAAAUUGUCAAGCAUUUGUUCCUUUUCUGUAUUCGCGGUACUAGUUUUGUCAACCCCGGUCCACUGUUGACAUUCGAAACAAAUUUAAAUCCUUUAAAGAAAUUCUGAUUUUAUUUCUUUGAAUAAUACUUUAAACUUUAAAUUGAUAUAUCAUAGAUGUUAUUUCGCGAUACUUUUAUGUCAUGAAAUCAUGUCUGACUUUCUACGUUUCGAAAUCAACCAUUUGAUAUGCAACUACCUAAUGAUAUCAAAUCGCACUUGCUCAAUUUACAACUUCAAGUGUGACAAACCUAAUUACUGUAAUUUAAACCUGAUUUUAUUCUUGUAAAAUCUUGUAAAAUUUAACCAUGAAACAACGGAAAAUGAAAGUGCAUGGUGUUUGUUAAAGAAUUUCCCUGGUUUCCUAUCUGGUCACCAAAGAGAAAUCUCGUUCGAAACAAAAUGUUUACCGUCUAUCCAAACCGUCGAUCCUCCAUGAGACUGGCAUACCUUUAGGCAAUUCCAGGGAAAAAAGUACAUUAGAAACGCUUAACCUGUCUGAUGCAAGAUCGUCGAGAAGCUACAUGUUACCGAUUCCCAUGUACACUCGCGAUCAAAUCAAGGUUUUCCCCCAGGGAAAAUCCUAGGGAAUCUUCAAAAUCUGAACUUUUACGAUAUUUACAUUAAAAGUACUUAAGAAACAGGAAUAAUAAAAUUUAAUAUACAUAUAACUGAGAAAUAUUCGUUUUCCCACGUAAACUUUUACACGCAAGUAGAUAGAACCAGACUCCUAAUUGGACAGUGUUUUUCGUUAAUAAUUCAACAAUAAAGCCUUAACCAACAUUUUGGUAAAGAUAAAAAGUUGUUCAAAAUCAGCCCAGCAACCACCACUUCAGGGGAUUAUCAUUCUUUCUCAGACACUCUGUACAUGUGGGACCACCACCCUCUUCCCUCCAUAGUGAAAAUCUGAUUUGAUCGCGACUGUACUAAAAGAAAAGCACAGGGCUCUAACAAGGACGCCAACUUUUUCUAUCCGUCUAUCUUUGCGGAAUUCCAUCCAAACCUAUAAUCACAUACUCAUACGAUUAUUACAAUUAUCAUCUAUUUUCUUUUUUCUCUCUCUCUUUUUAUUUUUUUUUACCGCAACUGUUCCUGCUACGAGGAUUGCAUAAAAUUAACUCGCAUGAUUUCCUGGUCUUUCAAAACCAGCAAUUACUCUAUGGUGGUGAGACGAACUUAUACACGCGCGAAAUUAAUGAACCGACUCGAUCGAAUCGAAACCUUCAAUAAUGGAUCAAUCAAGAUACCAGCCGAUGAAUUACAUUUUUUCUUUUCUUUUCUUUUGUAAUGAUAGGAAUGGCACCAUGAGUUCGUUACGGGGUCACUACGCACAUCGUUUCUUUAUCUGCAAAAACAUAGAUCCACGUUGCAAUCUUAUUGCGAUUGUAAUAACAAAUUGAUUUGAACGCAUCAGGCUGAUUGAAUAAGACGGAAAGAUUGGUCAUUGACGAUCAAGAAACUGCAGUCUCAAUGAUAAAACGGAUUCAUAAUGAAGAAUGUAUCAUUGAAGAAUUAUCAUAUUAAAUUAUUGUUUUUCCCUUUCGUACGUACUUU